rnacentral:rRNA from 1 species
GACGAACCACCCAAACGUUAUUCGGAAUUACUGGGCUUAAAGAGUGCGUAGGCGGUCUUGUAAGUAGGGUGUGAAAUCCCACAGCUCAACUGUGGAACUGCGCUCUAAACUACAUGACUAGAGGGAUAUAGAGGUGAGCGGAACUGAUGGUGGAGCGGUGAAAUGCGUUGAUAUCAUCAGGAACACCGGAGGCGAAGGCGGCUCACUGGGUAUCUUCUGACGCUGAGGUACGAAGGCUAGGGGAGCGAACGGG